rnacentral:rRNA from 1 species
AAUAUUUGACAAUUGGCGAAAGCCUGAUCCAGCCAUGCCGCGUGUGUGAAGAAGGUCUUCGGAUUGUAAAGCACUUUAAGUUGGGAGGAAGGGGUUGAAGCUCAUACCUUCAAUCUUUGACUUUACCAACAGAAUACGCCCCGGCUAACUCUUUGCCAGCAGCCGCGGUCAUACAGAGGGUGGAAGCGGUAAUCGGAAUUACUGGGCGUAAAGCGCGCGUAGGUGGUUCAGUAAGAUGGAAGUGAAAUCCCCGGGCUUAACCUGGGAACUGCUUUCAUAACUGCUGAGCUAGAGUACGGUAGAGGGUAGUGGAAUUUCCUGUGUAGCGGUGAAAUGCGUAGAUAUAGGAAGGAACACCAGUGGCGAAGGCGACUACCUGGACUGAUACUGACACUGAGGUGCGAAAGCGUGGGGAGCAAACAGG